rnacentral:snoRNA from 2 species
GGGAAAUGAUGAGUGGUAGAAGCUCGCGUUUUUUUAUUGCGAGAGGGGUGCCUGCCCCAAAUAAGCCUGUUACGACAACAGGGCACUCACACUGUUUACCAUCUGAUCCC